UGGGGAAUAUUGGACAAUGGGGGGAACCCUGAUCCAGCAAUGCCGCGUGUGUGAAGAAGGCCUGAGGGUUGUAAAGCACUUUCGGUAGGGAGGAGGGUGAUUAGGUUAAGAGCUAGAUUACUGGACGUUACCUACAGAAGAAGCACCGGCUAACUCCGUGCCAGCAGCCGCGGUAAUACGGGGGGUGCGAGCGUUAAUCGGAAUUACUGGGCGUAAAGGGUGCGUAGGUGGUUAAUUAAGUUAUCUGUGAAAUACCUGGGCUUAACCUGGGCAGGUCAGAUGAUACUGAUUGACUCGAGUAUAGGAGAGGGUAGUGGAAUUUCCGGUGUAGCGGUGAAAUGCGUAGAGAUCGGAAGGAACACCGGUGGCGAAGGCGGCUACCUGGCCUAAUACUGACACUGAGGCACGAAAGCGUGGGGAGCAAACAGGAUUAGAUACCCCUGUAGUCC
rnacentral:rRNA from 1 species